rnacentral:rRNA from 1 species
AGUGAACGCUGGCGGUAGGCCUAACACAUGCAAGUCGAACGGCAGCACAGUAAGAGCUUGCUCUUACGGGUGGCGAGUGGCGGACGGGUGAGGAAUACAUCGGAAUCUACUUUUUCGUGGGGGAUAACGUAGGGAAACUUACGCUAAUACCGCAUACGACCUACGGGUGAAAGCAGGGGAUCUUCGGACCUCGCGCGAUUGAAUGAGCCGAUGUCGGAUUAGCUAGUUGGCGGGGUAAAGGCCCACCAAGGCGACGAUCCGUAGCUGGUCUGAGAGGAUGAUCAGCCACACUGGAACUGAGACACGGUCCAGACUCCUACGGGAGGCAGCAGUGGGGGAUAUUGGACAAUGGGCGCAAGCCUGAUCCAGCCAUACCGCGUGGGUGAAGAAGGCCUUCGGGUUGUAAAGCCCUUUUGUUGGGAAAGAAAAGCAGCAGGUUAAUACCCCGCUGUUCUGACGGUACCCAAAGAAUAAGCACCGGCUAACUUCGUG